rnacentral:lncRNA from 1 species
ACCCUAAAAUCCAAAAUCUAGGGUUUAGACAAGCAAAAAGCUCCAAAACUAAAAUCUAGAGGAAGGAAUCUUGCCACUUACCUCUAGGAUGCUCCAAACCAAGCUCAAAAUCUUCAAGGGUUGAAGAUUGAUCCACCACAAAGCUCCAAAAGCAAGCUCCAAGCCUCCAAAGGUGAGAAAUGAGGAAGAAGAUGGUGCUCCAAGGCCUCCAAGCAAGCUCCU